UACAGAGGUCUCGAGCGUUAGGCGGAAUCACUGGGCUUAAAGCGUGUGUAGGUGGAUGCCUAAGUACCUUGUGAAAUCCCACAGCUUAACUGUGGAACUGCUUGGUAUACUGGGUGUCUUGAGUCACUCAGGGGCGAGCGGAACAAAUGGUGGAGCGGUGAAAUGCGUAGAUAUCGUAAGGAAGACCAGUGGCGAAGGCGGGUCUCUGGACAGUUCCUGACGCUGAGGCACGAAGGCCAGGGGAGCAAACGGG
rnacentral:rRNA from 1 species